AGUCCGGUAGCUAAGAGGCUUAAGGCACUCGCCUUUUAAGCGAGACAUCGUCGGUUCGAAUCCGACCCGGACUACCA
rnacentral:tRNA from 1 species